rnacentral:rRNA from 1 species
CAGUCGAGCGAGUCUGCCUUGAAGAUCGGAGUGCUUGCACUCUGUGAAACAAGAUACAGGCUAGCGGCGGACGGGUGAGUAACACGUGGGUAACCUGCCCAAGAGAUCGGGAUAACACCUGGAAACAGAUGCUAAUACCGGAUAACAACAGAUGAUGCCUAUCAACUGUUUAAAAGAUGGUUCUGCUAUCACUCUUGGAUGGACCUGCGGUGCAUUAGCUAGUUGGUAGGGUAACGGCCUACCAAGGCGAUGAUGCAUAGCCGAGUUGAGAGACUGAUCGGCCACAUUGGGACUGAGACACGGCCCAAACUCCUACGGGAGGCAGCAGUAGGGAAUCUUCCACAAUGGACGCAAGUCUGAUGGAGCAACGCCGCGUGAGUGAAGAAGGGUUUCGGCUCGUAAAGCUCUGUUGUUGGUGAAGAAGGACAGGGGUAGUAACUGACCUUUGUUUGACGGUAAUCAAUUAGAAAGUCACGGCUAACUACGUGCCAGCAGCCGCGGUAAUACGUAGGUGGCAAGCGUUGUCCGGACUUAUUGGGCGUAAAGCGAGUGCAGGCGGCUCGAUAAGUCUGAUGUGAAAGCCUUCGGCUCAACCGGAGAAUUGCAUCGGAAACUGUCGAGCUUGAGUACAGAAGAGGAGAGUGGAACUCCAUGUGUAGCGGUGAAAUGCGUAGAUAUAUGGAAGAACACCGGUGGCGAAGGCGGCUCUCUGGUCUGUUACUGACGCUGAAGCUCGAAAGCAUGGGUAGCGAACAGGAUUAGAUACCCUGGUAGUCCAUGCCGUAAACGAUGAGUGCUAAGUGUUGGGAGGUUUCCGCCUCU